rnacentral:siRNA from 1 species
AAGAAAGGUGACCGACGCCGGCGU